rnacentral:misc_RNA from 1 species
CGCAGCCGCGGUAAUUCCAGCUCCAAUAGCGUAUAUUAAAGUUGUUGCAGUUAAAAAGCUCGUAGCUGAAUUUCGGAAUCAGUAUGUUGGUCGUGCUUCGGUACGUACUGUCAUUACUGGUUUCUACCUUCUGAAGAACCUUGAUGUCAUUAAUUUGGUGUCUUGGGGAAUCAGGACUGUUACUUUGAAAAAUUAGAGUGUUUAAAGCAAGCAUACGCUUGAAUACAUUAGCAUGGAAUAAUGAAAUAGGACGUUUGAUUCUAUUUUGUUGGUUUCUAGGAUCGACGUAAUGAUUAAUAGGGAUAGUUGGGGGCAUUAGUAUUCAAUUGUCAGGGGUGAAAUUCUUGGAUUUAUUGAAGACUAACUACUGCGAAAGCAUUUGCCAAGGAUGUUUUCAUUAAUCAAGAACGAAGGUUAGGGGAUCGAAGACGAUCAGAUACCGUCGUAGUCUUAACCAUAAACUAUGCCGACUAGGGAUCG